UACGUAGGGUGCAAGCGUUAAUCGGAAUUACUGGGCGUAAAGCGUGCGCAGGCGGUUAUAUAAGACAGAUGUGAAAUCCCCGGGCUCAACCUGGGACCUGCAUUUGUGACUGUAUAGCUAGAGUACGGUAGAGGGGGAUGGAAUUCCGCGUGUAGCAGUGAAAUGCGUAGAUAUGCGGAGGAACACCGAUGGCGAAGGCAAUCCCCUGGACCUGUACUGACGCUCAUGCACGAAAGCUAGGGUAGCAAAUGGG
rnacentral:rRNA from 1 species